rnacentral:lncRNA from 1 species
GGAUUUGGGGUCUCUGGCUCACCACUCAGGAGGCCGCAGGAGACAGGAGUGACAUGCGGUGGCCCCACCUGGCACCACAGGGCAUUUGGAAGUGAGCAGGAGUGAGGAACAGAUGGGGAGGGGCGGUGUCGGCAGGGCUACCUGUGACCAGACCUGUCAGCACACUUGGGGCUAACAUCCACCCUCCCACACAAGAGGCACCAGGUCACACCAGCCACGGAUGUAAGCCAACAGAGCCCCAUGUCAGCCCCAACAAGAAGUUCUGGUUUCCUGUGAAACCCCCAUCUUCUCAAGCUUUGAGUUUUUAGAUGUCUUUAAAAUGCAAGCAAUAAAUGGUGCGUAUAAACAUG